GCCGGAGUGGCGAAAUGGCAGACGCGCCGGACUCAAAAUCCGGUUCGGGCAACCGAGUGCGGGUUCAAGUCCCGCCUCCGGCA
rnacentral:tRNA from 1 species